CGCCGUCGCCACCGGCCUGCGCACCGUCGUGGUGACGCUGCCCGCCACCAGCACGGUUUACAAGCUCACGCCCACCUGCACGGGCACCGGUGCUUCCGGCGCCUGCUCCACGGGCACCCCCACGUGCGCGUCUGGCUCCCCCGCCUGCUCUGACGGCACCGGCACCUACAGCUGCACGUCCUCGACACCUUCGACUUGCGCUGAUCCGACAACCAGUUGUGCCUUUGGCACCAAGACCUGCGCUCAGACGGAUGGGUCAUUCGAUGCAACUCAGCUCACGUGUACAACAGCUGUGGCGGGUUCUAUGAGUGCUGGGUGCGCAGCUGGAACCGCCGUGUGCUUCGACCAGGCCAGUACUACUGCAGCCCAGUGCGCUAGUACUGCUACCACGGACCUCAGUCCCGCUUGCACUGUCGCGAACGUCAAUACUCCAACAUGUGUGGGUGGCAGUGUGACUAGCGCUGAUGCGUGCCUCACGUAUGCCGGCUCGCCCAUCUCGCCCGUCUGCACUGGAGGUGCCUUCGCCUGUGCGGCUGCGGCCGGCCCGAUGUGCGUGCAGAGCGCCACGCCAGUGUGCCCCUCCACGUUCUCGUCCAGCUGCAGCAGUGGAUCACCUUCUUGCACUCAGACGGCUGGCUUGACUACUCCUGGCUGCACCAGCGGUGGCACCCUCACUUGCAGCAAGACGGCUACCUGCGACGCGGAAGCCGCCACGCCCACGUGCGCCCAGGUGUUUGCCACUUUCACCGGCGGCGCGUCCGUCACCACCUGCACCAACCCUAGCAGCGACUCCACCCAACCCAUCACCACCACGCUCACGCUGGGCGCUGACUGGGCCCUGGGCGACAAGCUCACGGUGAACGCGGCGCAGGCCACCACCACCGCCACUUCUUACCUCAAGGCCGGCACCGCCACCGGCCUGGUGUACACCUCCAAGCCCAGCGGCGACGUGGUCAUCUACCCCUCCAUCACCCUGGCCGUGCUCACCAGCAGCAAGACCAUCACCGUCACACUGCCUGUGGCCGCCUCCGUGCCCAGCACCGGCCUGAGCGCCGCCGACUGCAACAACAUCUUCACGCUGUACGCUGGCGCCACUGCCAAGUCGAAUGUCUUUGCCGGCUGCUCGCUCGCCGCGGACAAGGUGACCUUUACGCUGACGCUGGUGGCUGCUGCUUCGGCCACGGCCACCACCACCACCUACGCCGCGGGCGACUUCAUCAACAUCAAGUCCGGCCAGAGCCUGCUCAAGGCCGACUCGACCACCGCCGCCAACCGCCUGGCCUUCGCGCCGCAUCCCGACGGUCUGCCCGUCGUGGCCACGAUCGUGUCGGCCGUGGUCACCGCAGGCGUUGGCUCUGGCACGGGUAUUGUCCGCGUGCAGCUCCCCAUCGCCAGUGACCUGGCCAAGGCGGACUGCGACAACACGGACAUCGGUGUCCUCGACAAUGCGGGAACUGCCCAGGCCCUUGCCGGCACCGGCGGUUGCGCGCUGAGCACCGACAAGACCGUGCUGACCAUCACGCUGGCCGGCUCCGUCACCGCGUCUUGGUUCACCACCUCGCCCUACAUGCGUGUGCGCAUCCUGUCCCAGGCCACCCUGGGCCUCAAGGCCGGCAGCUCAUCCGGCUACGCCUACAUCACCACCGACACCAGCGUGCUCGCCACCGUGCGCGCAUUCGACGUGGCGUCGGCCACACCGCAGAGCAUCGUGUCGGCCACGGCUGUGGGCCCCACCCGGCUGGAGCUGGCGCUGCCCGCCGUCACCACCAUCAACCCCGCCAACGGCUGCCCCAGCUCCCUGACGCUGAGCCGCACCUUGUCCAACUGCAGCCUGGACGACACCGGCAAGCUGCUGACCGUCUUCACCACCGCCGCCUACCAGUCCGCGGACACGGUGCAGGUGGUGGCCAGCCAGGCGCUCAAGUACAUGGCGGGCGACACCGCCACCUCCUACCCCGCCCUGGGUUCGGCGCUGACCAUCGCGCCCGCCAUUGUGUCGGCGUACACCGUGGACGCCUCCACCAUCGCCGUGACGCUGCCGGUUGCCAGUAGCUUCUAUGUUACCACUACCCGCACUGCCACUCUUGACGCCGUGGACUGCGACAAGAUUAUCACCGUGCUCAAGGCCGGCGUGGUCAACGGCGCCGGCGCCAUUGCGUCAGCUGGCAACCGCCGCACUCUGCUCACCACCGGCGCGUGCACGCUGGGCACCGCCUCGGCGGGCGGCACGACCAUCACCGUCAAGCUGAGCGGCGCUAUCUAUGACGCCGGCGACGCUGUCGACAUCCCCGACACCAAUGCCGGCCUCAACGGCGCGACCGCCACGUCUAACCCGCUGUACGCUGACUCCAACUCUGGGCCCAAGUACGUGGCCCGCCGCAGCCCGGUGGUCAUUGAGCCGCGCCUGGUGUCUGCCUCCGCCGUGGGCGCCCAGUCGGUGGAGGUGGUCCUGCCCGCCGCCAGCGCCAUCAUCGACAGCAGCAACGCCGUGGUGGCCACGCCCAGCUCCUCGCAGUGCGCCGCCAUCGCCGUCGUCAGCGGCAAGACCGUCACCUCGUGCUCGCUGUCGACCGACGGCCUGACGCUGACGCUGGGCCUGAGCGCCACCUUCGCGCCCGGCGACACCGUCAACAUCGUGUCGGGCCAGACCAUGCUGCGCGUGUGGAAGGCCAGUGUGGGCGCCGGCUACGAGGCGUUCGGCCCCGUGUACACGCCCUCGGCCGCCGCGCUGGCCAUCACUAUUGGCUACUUCGUGUCUGCCUACGCGCCCGACACUCAGACUGUGGUCAUCACGCUGCCGUUCACUGCCAAGCUGUACGACUACGCGCCCGCCACUGGCGCCUCCACCGCUGAGAUCACGCGCACCGCCACCGCCCCCACCAAGGGCAACUGCGACUCCAUCGUGCGCAUCGCCUCCCGCACGCUGGCCUCCACGCCCGCCGCCCUGACCGACCCCACCUGCACGCUCAGCGGCACCACCCUGACCGUCAAGCUGGCCUCCACCACACUGUCCGCUGGUGACCAGGCGUUCUUCGGCUCGGGCACUGACGCAAUCCUGCGCGGCGUGGCCACCGGCACCGUGGGCCUGACCUCCACCACCUAUCUCACCACAGCUGCCACCACCGCCACCACCGGCGCCGUGACCAUCCAUCCUUCGGUCACCUCGGCCAUCGCGACGGACUCGACCACCAUCAAGGUCACGCUUCCCUUCAACGCCUGGAUUCACGCCUCCAUCACCUCCCUCAACGCCUCCGACUGCGGCAAC
rnacentral:lncRNA from 1 species